UGCCGACGGCAACAUUUUCAUCGUGCAUCGACACACAGCGGACAAGGAUCGUUCAAAUAUUCAACAAUCUGGUCCGGAUCAAUCUGGAUGCGUUUAUUGUUUUUGGUUCUGAAUCUAGCAAAGUGUCGUGCGAGUAAUCAAAUGCAGGAUAAACAUCGCUGGCAAAUGGUUUCUGGUAAGAGCAAUUACUUUUCGCUCAUUAUCCGAUCAUUUGCUCAAGAAGGGCAACCAUCUUAACGUGAAGCACACGGCAUAAACCGUCAAAAGAUCUGUGGCAUUCGUAUUCGGAACCGUAUUUGUUGCAAUUAAUGACUGAUAGCAAUCGUCUUGCUAAGUACCAAUUAUCGCUAUCCCGGGGAGCAACAGGAACAUUGAGACAUUCGAGAAACAUAUGGAACGGAUUUGUUGGGAACUUCUUCUUGUGGAUAACAUCUUUACCUUGCCGUUUGGGUUUGAUAGAAAUAAUUUUAUAUAUCUUUAAUUCUAUUUCACAUUAUAAUCUUAAAACUGUGUGACAAACGUGUGACAACAAUCGUGAAUAUUUGUAACAAAUCAUACGAAAGGAUUUACACCAGUUGAUUGAAACAUACAAAUGGACUUGGUGAAUCCUUGAAGAAUUUAUUUCGUGUAUUGGAAAUAAGCGAAACAACUAUCUACUAUUAUACUUUUCAGCGAGGAUUAUCAUCAUCAACGGUGCACCUAUUGUCCAACGGAGACGACACCGAUUUCAUGUCCACCGGAUUGCUUCUGUAAGCAUCCACCGGAUGAUGGUCGGGACCACAUCUAAAAGGGAGCGAUCCGAAUGAAGUUAUAUCCUUUAGGAAUAUCUCAAACAUACAAGCCACAGAGAGAGAGAGAGAGAGAGAGAGAGAGCUUGGUUUCGUAAGGCUCCUUUUAUCUCACCAAAUAAAAGCAAUCUAAUUAAUGGUUCCGAAUCAAAACCGCAAAUGAUUUAUCCACGCAAUAGGCAUUGUUCGGCUUGAAUGUAAUCUUUUCGACCGGAAGUGACGAAUGAUAAUGCUUUCAUUAGAGCAAAUAUUUAUCAUUGUUCACAAGGCUAUCGGUGUGAUAUGUUUGAUAAGAAUUGUUUUACCGUCAUUUCAUACGUAGUUGAUCAGUUAGUCAAAGGAUUUGGGUCAGUGUAAACUAAUAGUCGUGCAGCUUCUUUCUGUUUCGCAAAAGAACGAUCCUUUAUGAGUCACAUUCACAUUGUAGUAUAGCAUUGUGCGGGAUAGAAUCAGUAGUCGAUAGAAUGCGUAAAUGUUACUCUUAAACUUGACAUAUGAAUAGAACCGGUAAGCUUUUUUGCAUGCUCGUCAAAUCCAGUGUAACUGAUACAUAUAUAGCUCUGUAUGGAGACAAAUAGUAAGAUACAACACAGUAAACAUUUAAACAGCAAAUAUCAUUCAAUCAAAUAAACCACUCUUAUCAAAAGCAAGAUAUGGCGUUUUGU